rnacentral:rRNA from 1 species
UGGGGAAUAUUGCACAAUGGGCGCAAGCCUGAUGCAGCCAUGCCGCGUGUAUGAAGAAGGCCUUCGGGUUGUAAAGUACUUUCAGUCGGGAGGAAGGUGGUAAGGUUAAUAACCUUAUCAAUUGACGUUACCGACAGAAGAAGCACCGGCUAACUCCGUGCCAGCAGCCGCGGUAAUACGGAGGGUGCAAGCGUUAAUCGGAAUUACUGGGCGUAAAGCGCACGCAGGCGGUUGAUUGAGUCAGAUGUGAAAUCCCCGGGCUUAACCCGGGAAUUGCAUCUGAUACUGGUCAGCUAGAGUCUUGUAGAGGGGGGUAGAAUUCUAUGUGUAGCGGUGAAAUGCGUAGAGAUGUGGAGGAAUACCGGUGGCGAAGGCGGCCCCCUGGACAAAGACUGACGCUCAGGUGCGAAAGCGUGGGGAGCAAACAGG